rnacentral:rRNA from 1 species
AGAGUUUGAUCCUGGCUCAGAUUGAACGCUGGCGGUAUGCCUUACACAUGCAAGUCGAACGGUAGAGGAGCAAUCCUCGAGAGUGGCGAACGGGUGAGUAAUACAUCGGAACGUGCCCAGUCGUGGGGGAUAACGUAGCGAAAGCUACGCUAAUACCGCAUACGACCCGAGGGUGAAAGCGGGGGACUCGCAAGAGCCUCGCGCGAUUGGAGCGGCCGAUGGCAGAUUAGGUAGUUGGUGGGGUAAAGGCCCACCAAGCCUGCGAUCUGUAGCUGGUCUGAGAGGACGACCAGCCACACUGGGACUGAGACACGGCCCAGACUCCUACGGGAGGCAGCAGUGGGGAAUUUUGGACAAUGGGCGAAAGCCUGAUCCAGCCAUACCGCGUGCGGGAAGAAGGCCUUCGGGUUGUAAACCGCUUUUGUCAGGGAAGAAAUACUUCGGGCUAAUACCCUGGGGUGAUGACGGUACCUGAAGAAUAAGCACCGGCUAACUACGUGCCAGCAGCCGCGGUAAUACGUAGGGUGCAAGCGUUAAUCGGAAUUACUGGGCGUAAAGCGUGCGCAGGCGGUUCUAUAAGACAGAUGUGAAAUCCCCGGGCUCAACCUGGGAACUGCAUUUGUGACUGUAGAGCUAGAGUACGGUAGAGGGGGAUGGAAUUCCGCGUGUAGCAGUGAAAUGC